rnacentral:rRNA from 1 species
ACCAUGCAAGUCGAACGGAAAGGCCCUGCUUUUGUGGGGUGCUCGAGUGGCGAACGGGUGAGUAACACGUGAGUAACCUGCCCUUGACUUUGGGAUAACUUCAGGAAACUGGGGCUAAUACCGGAUAGGAGCUCCUGCUGCAUGGUGGGGGUUGGAAAGUUUCGGCGGUUGGGGAUGGACUCGCGGCUUAUCAGCUUGUUGGUGGGGUAGUGGUUUACCAAGGCUUUGACGGGUAGCCGGCCUGAGAGGGUGACCGGCCACAUUGGGACUGAGAUACGGCCCAGACUCCUACGGGAGGCAGCAGUGGGGAAUAUUGCACAAUGGGCGGAAGCCUGAUGCAGCAACGCCGCGUGCGGGAUGACGGCCUUCGGGUUGUAAACCGCUUUCGCCUGUGACGAAGCGUGAGUGACGGUAAUGGGUAAAGAAGCACCGGCUAACUACGUGCCAGCAGCCGCGGUGAUACGUAGGGUGCGAGCGUUGUCCGGAUUUAUUGGGCGUAAAGGGCUCGUAGGUGGUUGAUCGCGUCGGAAGUGUAAUCUUGGGGCUUAACCCUGAGCGUGCUUUCGAUACGGGUUGACUUGAGGAAGGUAGGGGAGAAUGGAAUUCCUGGUGGAGCGGUGGAAUGCGCAGAUAUCAGGAGGAACACCAGUGGCGAAGGCGGUUCUCUGGGCCUUUCCUGACGCUGAGGAGCGAAAGCGUGGGAGCGAACAGGCUUAGAUACCCUGGUAGUCCACGCUGUAAACGGUGGGUACUAGGUGUGGGGUCCAUUCCACGGGUUCCGUGCCGUAGCUAACGCUUUAAGUACCCCGCCUGGGGAGUACGGCCGCAAGGCUAAAACUCAAAGGAAUUGACGGGGCCCCGCACAAGCGGCGGAGCAUGCGGAUUAAUUCGAUGCAACGCGUA